rnacentral:lncRNA from 1 species
GAGAUAAGAGAAGCUACAUGAUUUAGCUUUGUAUAGAGACUUGUACAUUUUGUGUAUACUCAGUGUAUAUUUUUGGUAUAUCCAUAGUAUACCUUGUAAUUGGGUUGUCAUUGGGCUAUGAUGAUUUGUGUAUCUUAGCCCACAUGUCAUUAUUUAAUUUUGGGCCGGAUCACCCGACCCGACCCGACCCGUCCGUGUGUAAUAUGUAUAUAUUGUAGGUGAGAUAUUUUCUAACCUACCGGCUUUCAUUUCCUCUCAUUUUUCUCUGUAAUAAUAUUUCUCUCAUUUCCAGAGAGUUCCAAACGCUCUGUCUUCUCUCUAAUUUCUCUCUCUACAGUUUCUAUGAUUUCUCGGUCUAAUAUCAAUGUUCACAUGGUAUCAGAGCCUAUACGACGAUCCGAUUAUGUUUCUCUACAUCUCGUUGUCUUGGUUGAUCUCUUUUUGAGAAUUUUUUUGGGGAUUUUUCUGAGACCUUAUGGUCGAUCAUGGUUCUGACCUAGAUCGGAUGCUUUUUCGAGUUUUUCGUCAUGAUAUUUGAGUAUAUUUUCUUCACCCGAACAUUCUAAGAGUUUUUCUACUGAUUUUGGGUGGUUUCUCGGUGACCUAUCGGCUUCUAGGGUUUCUGGUGGUUUAACCUAGGGUUCUACUGCUUUUCGGUGUCUCGAUUCUCACUCAGCGGUUGUUUUGGGUGCCUCUCCGACGUUCCUAACCACAUUUCCAGUUAGGAUUUCCAAGGUUACACCUAGGGUUUUAUACCUAGGGUUUUCUCUGUUGUUUGAAGGCCGAUCUUCUCCGGUCGCGAAGAAGGGUAGUAACUCUGUCCUUAUCUUCGGUAUUGUAUGCGAUUAUCUGGUGUUGUGUGUUAAUACCUGAUUUGGUUAUACUCUGUUUGUUAGUUGUUGUGUGUGAAUACCUGAUUUGGUUAUACUCUGUUUGAUGAAAAUUGUUCUUUUAAGCCGGUUCAUUGACUAUGGCUUCUAACACAAAUACUGGUGCCUCC